GACACGAAGAAUCCUGAACCGUUUUCCGUGGAGAACUCUCAGCUGAGUGCAGAUUUUAGUGGUGAAACAGGGCUGCUAACAUCCGUGACAUCAAAGGAGGACAGUGUAAAACAACAGAUCCAGCUGAGUUUUGUCAUGUAUGGGGUAAAGAUGGCGAAGGAAAAGAGCGGGGCCUACCUCUUCUUACCAGAUGGGGAGGCACAGCCUGUUGCAAUAUCCAAGCCCUUUAUCCGUGUUUUAAGGUGAUGUCAGAGGUCAAGGUCAUGCUCUCUAAUGUUGAACAUGUGGUCAGGCUACAGAACUCACCAGGUA